AGAGUUUGAUCCUGGCUCAGGACGAACGCUGGCGGCGUGCUUAACACAUGCAAGUCGAACGGAAAGGCCCUUCGGGGUACUCGAGUGGCGAACGGGUGAGUAACACGUGGGUGAUCUGCCCUGCACUUUGGGAUAAGCCUGGGAAACUGGGUCUAAUACCGAAUAUGACCAUGCACUUCCUGGUGUGUGGUGGAAAGCUUUUGCGGUGUGGGAUGGGCCCGCGGCCUAUCAGCUUGUUGGUGGGGUAAUGGCCUACCAAGGCGACGACGGGUAGCCGGCCUGAGAGGGUGACCGGCCACACUGGGACUGAGAUACGGCCCAGACUCCUACGGGAGGCAGCAGUGGGGAAUAUUGCACAAUGGGCGCAAGCCUGAUGCAGCGACGCCGCGUGAGGGAUGACGGCCUUCGGGUUGUAGACCUCUUUCAGCACAGACGAAGCGCAAGUGACGGUAUGUGCAGAAGAAGGACCGGCCAACUACGUGCCAGCAGCCGCGGUAAUACGUAGGGUCCGAGCGUUGUCCGGAAUUACUGGGCGUAAAGAGCUCGUAGGUGGUUUGUCGCGUUGUUCGUGAAAACUCACAGCUUAACUGUGGGCGUGCGGGCGAUACGGGCAGACUUGAGUACUGCAGGGGAGACUGGAAUUCCUGGUGUAGCGGUGGAAUGCGCAGAUAUCAGGAGGAACACCGGUGGCGAAGGCGGGUCUCUGGGCAGUAACUGACGCUGAGGAGCGAAAGCGUGGGGAGCGAACAGGAUUAGAUACCCUGGUAGUCC
rnacentral:rRNA from 1 species